rnacentral:lncRNA from 1 species
GAUGCCCUGUGUCACCUUAAGCCUCUGCAGAGAGUUCCUACAAGAAGGCCCUCAUUAGAUGUAGCUUCUUGACCUUGGACUUCCUAGUCUUCAGAACUUAUGUAUUAGGGAACAUGAAGAAAAUCUGCAGUUAUCACUAACAGCUGAAGCUGAUGAUAGGCUUGAAUAAAAGAAAUGUAGGAAGCAGUGCAGUUUGCCUCAACAAUAUAAAAACAACCCAAGAAUAUAUCCUCAUAAAGCAUAGGCGUGGACUCUGUUAUUGACUGAGUUGUGUCCUCCCCGAACUUUAUGUUGAAGCCUAACUCCCAAUGUGACUCUACUUGGAGAUAUGCCCUUUAAAGAGGCAUUUUUGGUUAAAUGAGGUUGUACAGGUGAGGCCCUAAUCCAGCAUGACUGGUGUCCUGAUAAGAGGAACAGACACCAAGGGAUGUGCAUACACAGAGGAAAAGGACAUGUGAAGACAUGACAAGACAAGAGGCAUCUGCACGUCAAGGAGAGAGGCCCCCAGAGAAACCACACCUGCCAACACCCUCCUGAAAUUAAACUUCAAAACUGUGAGAAAUACAUUUCUGUUUCUUAAGCCACCCAGUAUUUAGUAUUUUGUUAUGGCAUCUCUAACCAGAACCCUGACUAAUGCAGACCCUAAUAAUGGGCAUCAACAAAUUAAGAUUUGUAUAUGGAUUAUAUGAUGAGUUUUUGUUCUGCCAUUAAUUACCAGAGUGAUUUAUGGGAAGGUAUUUAAUCUCUAUGGGUCAUAUUUUCCUGACCUUUGAUGAAGGAUGAAAAAAGAACUAAAAAAAUCUGUAAAAUAGACACAAGUUUAAAUGUAAUGGUAAUAAAGACAUUCCCAAUUAUGCCAACCAACU